GGUCGACGGGGUUUUGAGUUGCAAGGGUCUCUGAGGCUUUUAUUUACAAAGAGUUGGAAGAGGACUGCUGGUGAAAAAAUGGUGGAAAGUUGCAUCAAUAUGCUUUAUACUGAGAUUUUGUUGAUCAAUGGUGGUGGUGGGGGAUUUGGGUUCGCUAAGAAUAAUAGUUCCAAGUUGAGUUUCUCUCUAAAUCACAUCAGGAAGGAUUGCAUGCAGUGUUUUCUUUCAGAGCAAUCUUUUCAGAAAGUGUUAAGUGCCCAUCUUUUCUCAGUUGCAAGUGAAAUCUCUCUCUCUCUCUGAUUAUUGAUUAGCUUUUGAAGACUUCAGAACAUAAGAUGGAGCACAUUAUGAUUACCAAAACAAUAGCUGAAAAGGUGCCUUACAAUUAUUCCGCUUGUUGAAUGCUCUAUUUAUAGAGGAAUCUUCUGUAGAACUGUUUCUACCUCAGUAAUGGUAGAGAACAGCCGAACACCAUCAAGUUUGAUGGAUGGUCAGUGUUGAAAACAUAGUGGGGCUGACCAAAAUUUGAAAGGACCCAAGUGGCUUUACACUCGGGCAUCGACGGCAUCGGCGGUAUCGGAAAAUUAGGUGUGUUGAUAAAUCUACUUUUAUAUUAGUUGAAUUUAGAAUGGUUAGGUUGGCUAUUGUCAUUUGAAACUCGUACCGUUCUUGUUGAUAAAUACCCAUAUUGUUUCCUAUGUAAUGUAAGUUACUAAGUUGAGACUUGUCAAUCAAUUUGUCUAUUCAAGCUGAAUUUGUACUUUUGAAUUUUUUCUCUAGCUACAUAGUUUGGGUGCAUGCUUUUUUAGAGACUUGACACUAGGUUACUUUUGAAGGGUUUCAAGGGCUAAAGCUACUUGGCCUUUAAAGUUUGUAACACUAUUUUAAAAGUUGACUAAUUGGUCUCUGCAUUUGCCCGAGUUGACUCACCUGGAGACCCUGGUGAGUACUAUAGGCAUACCAUGGGACUCGCCUGAGUCUUACACUUUUGGACCCUUUUAAUCCUUUUCUGCCUUUUCUGCCAUGAACUUGCUUGGACCUGUUAGACUUAGUUGAGUUGGGUGUGCCUCAUUGGGCCUUGGGGUCCUAGCGAGUCUUGACCUGAGUUUGGCUUGUAAGGCAUUAAUCCGUCAUGUAGUUAUUUAGUAUUUAGCCUUUUUUUAGGGUAGUAAUUUCUGUCUUUAAACUAAUUAAGUAAAAUUGGUCAUAUGAAGCUAUGCUACUAGCAUGUUUAGAUAGGGUGGUUGAUUAUUCACUUUUAGGUUGACUACCAAUGUCAUUUACCGCUUGAGCGUGUGUCUUUUAAGGAUAAGGGAAUGUGAUAUGAGAUUUUUAUUUCACCAUAUCUAAGGCACUAAUGACUUAUCUGGAUUUUGGGCAUAUAAUUUGUAAGAAUGUUAUCUAAUCUGUAUUUGAACCAAUGAUAAAAAACUCGGCAAGGUUGACUAAGACUCUCCCAAUUCACUUGAAAUUGGCACCUUGUUGAUUCCUAAGGACCCCCAUCAUGUUGGGGGAGCCUAUUGCUUUCGAAACCUAGAUCUUGGUUGUGUUGGACUCAUGUAGUUUUUUGAGAGUUACUUGAUAUGCUAUAGACUUGUAGAGUCUGACGCUCUUAUGACAAAAGGGAACUAGAAAACCAAAGGCCUUUUUUCGAUUUUUCAACUGUUUGGGGGUUCAUGAGGUGUGAAAAAAAGAGAGAAAAGAUUGGGGUUAUUUUGACUCCCUCUUUUGGAUCCAAGGCCUAGAUCAAAAAAAAAAAGCCUAAAAUCUUUCAUUUUCAAUAUUUUUAGUUUUGGGUUUGAGCAGAACUUUUCAAUGUUUGGAUCAAGUAGAUCGGAUAUCUAUUCUUAGGGUGCUUCUUUUUACUGCAAGCCAUCGCUUCCAUCAUUGUUGCAGUUCCUAUGUUUGUUUGCGGGAUGUGUAACGUAGAUUUGAAAACCGUGGCUUCUGUGCCAACCAAUAGAAACCGGGACUUCUAGAUUACAUGGCAGCCCCAUCUUCCAUGCAAUAGAGACCCCGUAUAGACACUUUUGGAGUUUUGAUUUGUGAUGGGUUUGGCACUUGAAGUGCAUGAUCCAUUUUUCUUACUUAAAAAUUUCAAUUAUAUGGGUUUGCCACUUGAUUUACUGAACCCAUAUGCUUAGCAAUUCUUUUGAGCACUUGUUUUUUGAAUUUCAAGUGUCGAACUCAUAACUCGUUGUUAGAAAACAGAAAGGGAAAAUUAUGACCCCCUCCCAUUACUGUUUCUCUCUGCACUUAACCCCCCAAGUAGAAGUUUCUUUUUUUUAAAGACCAACAUACCCUCACUUGUUACCCCUUACACCCCACGAUCUUUUCUCCCAAUCAUUUCCCCCUCUUCCCCAUGAUUUUAAAAUGCGGUCGCAUAAUGCAUUAUGCGUUGGGCAGCUCUCUGCAUAUGUGGCUGCAUCCCGCAUAAACCGCAUAUGCAGCCCGGUAAUUUCAUAAAAAUAAAUUCCUCGAGCUGGGGUAUUUUUUACCUUUUUACCCCCAAAAAAGGGGGAAAGGGUUUAUGGGGUAUUAAACCCCCCAAACAACAAAAAAAUAGCCACAUCUGUGGCUUUACUUGAAUCAAAUCGAUAAAAAAAAAAGUGGCGAAAAAGUUUUUGUGGGAAGUUCUUUGAUUUUUAAUUUUUUUGAUGCUUGUUUGUUGAUUUUUUUUUUUUUUGGGUUUUGAUUUGAGGAAAGUUUAGGCAAAGUUUGACAACAAAUCGAGGGUUUCAAGGGCCGAGUAGAAAUCGAUACUUGCUUCAAGUAACCAAUAACUUUUUUGUUCGUACUACAGUAAUACUUUUUUUGGGGCACUGUCUUCUUCCCAAUCUUCUAAUAACAAGGAUCUGGCUUGGACAUAUGCCAAACUAAAAAAAUCAGAAAGAUCGAAAUUGUAUGAUUUGUAUGCUUUGUGGAAAUACUUAUAUGGGGGGUAUUUUUCGGUAAAAAGAGCAAUUAGCCGGUAUUUUUGGGAAUGUAAGAGCAUGCCCACAAGCUACCAAAGAGAUUAGAGACUACAUGGAUUGCUUGAAAAAACAAAAAGGGAAGAAAAAAAUGAAACCCAAAGAAUUAAUUAAUGAAAUGCAAUUAUUUGAUGAUGAUGAUGAUGAGGAGGAGGAUAUGUCAGAAGUUGUAAUGAGGCAAAUGGGUACUCCAAUAUCAAGAGAGAGGGUUAUAAAUAUUGGUGGUAGCGUUGGAAAAAAAUACCUCUCUCUAAAGGGCAAUAUAUAAUUUUUUCACCCCUGACUCCAAAAUUAUGGUUCAGGAGAGGAGGAAAAAAAUAAAACAAACCUUAAUUGAAAAUCGAUACAAGAAAGAAGAGAGGAAGAAGGUAUGUAAGUACAUUGCAAAGUGGUUUUACAUGGCCAACAUUCCUUUCAGUACUAUAAUCCUCGAUAGUUCUCCAUGUAUGGGCCAAGCAAUUGGGCAAUUUGGUCAAGGACUUAAUCCUCCAUCACUAAAUGAGACUAGGGAGCCCUUAUUGAAGGAUGCCUUAUGUGAUGUUAACAAAAUUUUGAUUUCUCAAAGAGAAGGGUGGGAGAAGUAUGGAGCAACUAUUAUGUGUGAUGGAUGGUCUGAUGGGAAGUUGAGGUCAUUCAUUAAUUUUUUGGUUAACUGUCCAACAUGUACUUUUUUUAUUAAGUUUGUUGAUGCAUCAAACAAGUCACAUGAUGCUACAUACUUUUGUGGCUUGAUAGAUGGGAUAAUAGAGGUUUUUGGAGAGAAACAUGUGGUACCAAUUGUCACUGAUAAUGGUGCCAAUUACGUUGCAGCUAGGCAUUUAUUGACUUUGAAGAGGACAUGUAUGUUUUGGACUAGUUGCGUAGCUCAUUGUGUCAAUCUCAUGCUUAAGGAAAUGGUUACUACAUCUAUAUUUAGUGGGGUGAUUUCAAAAGCUAUGUUGUUGGAUUUAUUUAGAAUCACACCAUAGUCCUUAUAGCAUGAUGAGGAGUUCUACAGAGAAAAGAGAAUUAGUGAGACCGGGUGUCACUAGAUUUGCCACAUCAUUUCUCACUUUUCAAGGCCUAUACAAGCAAAAAAACGCCUUGAGGACCAUGUUUGCUUCAAAACAAUGGAGUUAAAGUAAGUGGUCAAAGCAUUGGAUGAAAGAAAGGCUGAACCAUUAUUGUUGGAAACGCCUGGGAACCCGAAUCGUUUCAGGAACUGGAAUCAUGGAAUCGCGUCUAGCUAGAAGUUUCCUGUUGUAGGAAUCGUUGUCCGUACAAUAGGAAUCGUUGAGAAUGGCAUUCCUAAUUUUCAGGAAUCGAUUAUUGAUCGGAAUAGGUCCAAAGUUCAUCCACGUAUGGAAUUGAGAUUCCGGCCUCCUUGGAAUCGAGAUUCCCAUCCCCUGGGUUCAACACUCCAAGUGUCAAGUUUUAUUAAUAUGCGGAAUCGAGUUUCUGUCAUCUAUGGAAUCGAGUUCCGACAUA